AAUCCGGGGGUUCAGUUUUUGGUGACUCACCGUGCUGGAAGCAGCAGUUCCGCAGGGCUCCGGCCGCUCCUCGCCGCAGCUCCGGCCGGCCCGGCUCCCUCAGCAGCUCCAGGAGCCUUCGCGCCGCUCGCCUGAGCCCGUCCCGCUCUCAUUCCCGCUUUUCCGGGCCUCAUUCCCGCAUUUCCCCGCCCUCCCGAGGCCACCCGCACCUCCUUUUCCCUUUUUGUUCCCCUUCUCCUGCUUUUCCCUUUCCCUUUUUUCCCACUGGAAUCCAUUUCCCCUCUCUUCCUUUUUCCCUUCCCCCUUUUCCCUUUUUUCCUCUCCCUUUCCCUUCUCUUUUUCUUUAAUCUUCCCUUAUUUUCUUUCCCCUCCCCUUUUCUCUCACCUCUCCCCCUUUCUCCCCUUCCCUUUUUCCUUCCCCCUUUUCCCCUUCCCUUUCCCCCUCUCUUUCCUCCUUCUCCCCUUUCAUUUUUCCCCUUUUUCCCUUUCCCUAUUCCCCCUUUCUCUUUCCCCUCUCUUCUCUUUUCUUUCCCUUUUCCCCUUUCCCCUUCCCUUUUCCUCCCUUUCCUUUUGCUCUUUAUCCUUCCCCUUUUCCCCUUCCCCUUCCCUUUUCCUUUCCCUUCUCCCCUUUUCCCUCCCCCUUUUCCCCUUCCCUCCUCCUUCCCCCUUUUCCCUUUCCCCCAUUUCCCCCUUCAUUUUCCUCAUUCCCCCUUCAUUUCCUACUUCCCCUUUCAUUCCCCCUUCAUUUCCCCCAUUUUCCCCUUCAUUUCCCUCAUUCCCCCUUCAUUUCCCUCAUUUCUCCCCUCAUUUCCCCCAUUUCUCCCUUCAUUUCCCCCAUUUCUCCCUUCAUUUCCCUCAUUCCCCCUUCAUUUCUCCCAUUUCUCCCUUCAUUUCCCCCAUUUCUCCCUUCAUUUUCCCUCAUUUCCCCCCAUUUCCCCUUCAUUUCCUCUUCAUUUCCCCCCAUUUCUCCCUUCAUUUGCCCUCAUUCCCCCUUCAUUUCCCCCAUUUCCCCCUUCAUUUCCCAUUCCCCUUCCUUCCCCCCUUCAUUUCUCAUUUCCCCUCAUUUCCCCCCUUCAUUUCCCAUUUUCCCCCUCAUUUCCCCCCUCAUUUCCCCCCUCAUUUCCCCUCAUUUCCCUCCAUUUCCCCCCUUCAUUUCCCAUUUCUCCCUUCAUUUCCCUCAUUCCCCCUUCAUUUUCCCCUCAUUUCCCCCAUUUUCCCCUUCAUUUCCCUCACUCCCCCUUCAUUUCUCUCAUUUCUCCCUUCAUUUUCCCUCAUUUCCCCCCUCCAUUUCCCCCAUUUCUCCCUUCAUUUUCGCCUCAUUUCCCCCAUUUUCCCCUUCAUUUCCCUCACUCCCCCUUCAUUUCUCUCAUUUCUCCUUUCAUUUUCCCCUCAUUUCCCCCCAUUUCUCCCUUCAUUUUCCCCAUUUCCCCCUUCAUUUCCCCCCAUUUCUCCCUUCAUUUUCCCCAUUUCUCCCUUCAUUUCCCUCACUUCCCCUUCAUUUCCCUCAUUCCCCCUUCAUUU
rnacentral:lncRNA from 1 species